rnacentral:misc_RNA from 1 species
AACUUUUGACAAUGGAUCACUUGGCUCUCGCAUCGAUGAAGAACGCAGCGAAAUGCGAUAAGUAAUGUGAAUUGCAGAAUUCAGCGAAUCAUCGAAUCUUUGAACGCACCUUGCGCUCCUUGGUAUUCCGAGGAGCAUGCCUGUUUGAGUGUCAUUAAUAUAUCAACCUUCUCUUUUUGAGUGGUUUGGAUGUGGGGGUUUGCUGGCCUCUUAAAAGGUCUUGGCUCUCCUGAAAUACAUUAGCAGAACAACCCUGUUCAUUGGUGUGAUAACUAUCUACGCUAUUGAAUGUGAAGGGCAGUUUGGCUUUCUAACAGUCCUUGGACAAGCUCAUCAUUAAUGUGACCUCAAAUCAGGUAGGACUACCCGCUGAACUUAAGCAUAUCAAUAAGCGGAGGCU